UCCGGAGGGGGCUAGCGUUGUUCGGAAUUACUGGGCGUAAAGCGCACGUAGGCGGCUUUGCAAGUCAGAGGUGAAAGCCCGGGGCUCAGCCCCGGAAUUGCCUUUGAGACUGCAUCGCUAGAAUUGUGGAGAGGUAAGUGGAAUUCCGAGUGUAGAGGUGAAAUUCGUAGAUAUUCGGAAGAACACCAGUGGCGAAGGCGACUUACUGGACACAUAUUGACGCUGAGGUGCGAAAGCGUGGGGAGCAAACAGG
rnacentral:rRNA from 1 species